rnacentral:rRNA from 2 species
GUAUAAUGGGUCAGCGACUUAAUAUCAAUAGCAAGCUUAAGGCAUAUAGCUGUAGGCGAAGCGAAAGCGAGUCUGAAUAGGGCGACUUAGUUAUUGGUAUUAGACUCGAAACCGGGUGAUCUAGUCAUGUGCAGGUUGAAAGUGAAGUAAAAUUCACCGGAGGACCGAACCCACUAACGUUGAAAAGUUACGGGAUGACAUGUGAUUAGGGGUGAAAGGCCAACCAAACCCGGAAAUAGCUAGUUCUCCGCGAAAUCUAUUUAGGUAGAGCGUCGUGCGAAUCUUAUUGGGGGUAGAGCACUGAAAGGGCUAGGGGGAAGCAAUUCCUACCAAACCUUAUCAAACUCCGAAUACCAGUAAGUCUACACGGCAGACAGUCCAUGGGUGCUAACGUCCUUGGACAAGAGGGAAACAACCCAGAUCAACAGCUAAGGUCCCAAAAUAAUGGUUAAGUGUGAAAGGGAGUGGGAACUCCAAGACAGCCAGGAGGUUGGCUUAGAAGCAGCCAUCCUUUAAAGAAAGCGUAACAGCUCACUGGUCUAAAUAAGUUGUCCGGCGCCGAAGAUUUAACGGGGCUAAACAAUACACCGAAGCUUUGGACACAAUUUAUUGUGUGGUAGCGGAGCGUUCCGUACGUUGUUGAAGGGAGACUCGUGAGAGCUCCUGGAGAUAUCGGAAGUGAGAAUGCUGACAUGAGUAGCGACAAAAAGUGUGAGAAACACUUUCGCCGAAAAUCCAAGGGUUCCUGCGCAAGGCUAAUCCGCGCAGGGUGAGUCGGCUCCUAAGGCGAGGUCGAAAGACGUAGUCGAUGGGAAACAGGUUAAUAUUCCUGUACCUGAUGAGAUGUGACGGAUGACGUAUAUUGUAUACCCUUAUAAUGAUUGGGUGUGCAGUGAAGUUGUUCCAGGAAAUAGCCUCAUCAUUAAAGACCGUACCCGAAACCGACACAGGUGGAUAGGUAGAAUAUACCAAGGCGCUUGAGAGAACUAUGUUGAAGGAACUCGGCAAAAUAACUCCGUAACUUCGGGAGAAGGAGGACCUAUGUUUGGGCAACCAGAUGUAGGUGGCACAGAAAUGGGGGUAGCAACUGUUUAUUAAAAACACAGGACUCUGCAAAGCCGCAAGGCGAAGUAUAGGGUCUGACGCCUGCCCGGUGCCGGAAGAUUAAAGUGAGUGGUGCAAGCUACGAGCUGAAGUCCCGGUGAACGGCGGCCGUAACUAUAACGGUCCUAAGGUAGCGAAAUUCCUUGUCGGGUAAGUUCCGACCUGCACGAAUGGCGUAAUGAUUUCCCCGCUGUCUCCAGCAUAGACUCAGCGAAAUUGAAUUCUCCGUGAAGAUGCGGAGUACCCGCGGUUAGACGGAAAGACCCCGUGCACCUUUACUAUAG